AUCGCAUCCCUCGCCUGCAUAGCACAGCGGUCGGCGGCGGCGGCGGCGGUGACAACGUCCGACGACGACGACGCCAAGAUAUGCGGUGCGGUGACCAAGAAAAUAAUGGCAAACCUUACUUGUCUCAUCAUCCAUAUCCAUUCUGACCUUGUACUGGCAUUGGAGAUGGACAACGGCUAGCGCACAACAUGCGGCCGGCGGCAGCUUGAGGACAAAGAUUAGAUCUGGUGACCAUCGUCUUGGCGUCAAUCGGUAAGAUUAGGGACAUGUGAGUAUCAAGGUACAUGCAUCAUUUUUCAUUGAUCAUUCGGUACUGCACGAGGUCUUCGCCGCCUGCGCCGAACGUUUGGAUCGAGCGAUCGCUGGAUGGGUCUCCAGUUCUUCUCCACUACAUGGUUAAUGGAAUCACAAGAUUAUUUCUUUGCCAAAGAAAGGGUGCCAAUUUAUAUGGGCCAGACAACAGGAACCUCUCACCGGUGGCGUCUGGCCAGCAACCACUUCUCUCAUUGCUUAAUGCAUGUAGAUUCGAUUUGGAGAACCAAGAGCUUUGUUCCACGCAUGAAGGCCAUAUUUGUAGCAAUACAUUUACGUACACUUGAUGAAGCAACAUGGAAAUCACUUGUAACACUUGAGUAGUAUAUAUGUAUAGCUCGUUGGAGGCUACGUAACAUAUAACAGUAUAUGUAAUCCUAUGAAACUAACAGUGUAUACUCAUUUGGUUAUCCUGAUGAUGUAUGCUAAGCAAUAUA